AGAGUUUGAUCCUGGCUCAGAUUGAACGCUGGCGGCAGGCCUAACACAUGCAAGUCGAACGGUAACAGGAAGAAGCUUGCUUCUUUGCUGACGAGUGGCGGACGGGUGAGUAAUGUCUGGGAAACUGCCUGAUGGAGGGGGAUAACUACUGGAAACGGUAGCUAAUACCGCAUAACGUCGCAAGACCAAAGAGGGGGACCUUCGGGCCUCUUGCCAUCGGAUGUGCCCAGAUGGGAUUAGCUUGUUGGUGGGGUAACGGCUCACCAAGGCGACGAUCCCUAGCUGGUCUGAGAGGAUGACCAGCCACACUGGAACUGAGACACGGUCCAGACUCCUACGGGAGGCAGCAGUGGGGAAUAUUGCACAAUGGGCGCAAGCCUGAUGCAGCCAUGCCGCGUGUAUGAAGAAGGCCUUCGGGUUGUAAAGUACUUUCAGCGGGGAGGAAGGGAGUAAAGUUAAUACCUUUGCUCAUUGACGUUACCCGCAGAAGAAGCACCGGCUAACUCCGUGCCAGCAGCCGCGGUAAUACAGAGGGUGCAAGCGUUAAUCGGAAUUACUGGGCGUAAAGCGCACGCAGGCGGUUUGUUAAGUCAGAUGUGAAAUCCCCGGGCUCAACCCUGGGAACUGCAUCUGAUACUGGCAAGCUUGAGUCUCGUAGAGGGGGGUAGAAUUCCAGGUGUAGCGGUGAAAUGCGUAGAGAUCUGGAGGAAUACCGGUGGCGAAGGCGGCCCCCUGGACGAAGACUGACGCUCAGGUGCGAAAGCGUGGGGAGCAAACAGGAUUAGAUACCCUGGUAGUCCACGCCGUAAACGAUGUCGA
rnacentral:rRNA from 1 species